rnacentral:rRNA from 1 species
UACCAGACUCCUACGGGAGGCAGCAGUGAGGAAUAUUGGUCAAUGGGCGGAAGCCUGAACCAGCCAAGUCGCGUGAGGGACUAAGGCCCUGCGGGUCGUAAACCUCUUUUGCCGGGGAGCAGUGGCCCGGACGCGUCCGGACCGGGAGAGUACCCGGAGAAAAAGCAUCGGCUAACUCCGUGCCAGCAGCCGCGGUAAUACGGAGGAUGCGAGCGUUAUCCGGAUUUAUUGGGUUUAAAGGGUGCGUAGGCGGGCUUUUAAGUCAGCGGUAAAAAUUCGGGGCUCAACCCCGUCCGGCCGUUGAAACUGGGGGCCUUGAGUGGGCGAGAAGAAGGCGGAAUGCGUGGUGUAGCGGUGAAAUGCAUAGAUAUCGCGCAGAACUCCGAUUGCGAAGGCAGCAUGCCGGCUCCACACUGACGCUGAGGCACGAAAGCGUGGGUAUCGAACAGGAUUAGAUACCCCGGUAGCA